rnacentral:rRNA from 1 species
AUCCCCUUCGGGGGUGACGCUUGUGGAAUGAGCGGCGGACGGGUGAGUAACACGUGGGCAACCUGCCUGUAAGAUCGGAAUAACUCCGGGAAACCGGGGCUAAUGCCGGGUAAUCCUUUCUCUCGCAUGAGGGGAAGGUAAAAGAUGGCUUCUCGCUAUCACUUACAGAUGGGCCCGCGGCGCAUUAGCUAGUUGGUGAGGUAACGGCUCACCAAGGCAACGAUGCGUAGCCGACCUGAGAGGGUGAUCGGCCACACUGGGACUGAGACACGGCCCAGAYUCCUACGGGAGGCAGCAGUAGGGAAUCUUCCGCAAUGGACGAAAGUCUGACGGAGCAACGCCGCGUGAACGAUGAAGGUCUUCGGAUCGUAAAGUUCUGUUGUUAGGGAAGAACAAGUACCGUUCGAACAGGGCGGUACCUUGACGGUACCUAACGAGGAAGCCCCGGCUAACUACGUGCCAGCAGCCGCGGUAAUACGUAGGGGGCAAGCGUUGUCCGGAAUUAUUGGGCGUAAAGCGCGCGCAGGCGGUUCCUUAAGUCUGAUGUGAAAGCCCACGGCUCAACCGUGGAGGGUCAUUGGAAACUGGGGAACUUGAGGACAGAAGAGGAGAGUGGAAUUCCACGUGUAGCGGUGAAAUGCGUAGAUAUGUGGAGGAACACCAGUGGCGAAGGCGACUCUCUGGUCUGUCUCUGACGCUGAGGUGCGAAAGCGUGGGUAGCAAACAGGAUUAGAUACCCUGGUAGUCCACGCCGUAAACGAUGAGUGCUAGGUGUUAGGGGGCUUCCACCCCUUAGUGCUGAAGUUAACGCAUUAAGCACUCCGCCUGGGGAGUACGGCCGCAAGGCUGAAACUCAAAGGAAUUGACGGGGGCCCGCACAAGCGGUGGAGCAUGUGGUUUAAUUCGAAGCAACGCGAAGAACCUUACCAGGUCUUGACAUCCUUGGACCGCCCUAGAGAUAGGGUCUUCCCUUCGGGGACCAAGUGACAGGUGGUGCAUGGUUGUCGUCAGCUCGUGUCGUGAGAUGUUGGGUUAAGUCCCGCAACGAGCGCAACCCCUAAUCUUAGUUGCCAGCAUUGAGUUGGGCACUCUAAGGUGACUGCCGGUGACAAACCGGAGGAAGGCGGGGAUGACGUCAAAUCAUCAUGCCCCUUAUGACCUGGGCUACACACGUGCUACAAUG